AACGAACGCUGGCGGCAUGCCUAACACAUGCAAGUCGAACGAGACCUUCGGGUCUAGUGGCGCACGGGUGCGUACCGCGUGGGAACCUGCCCUUAGGUUCGGAAUAACUCCCCGAAAGGGGUGCUAAUACCGGAUAAUGUCUUCGGCCCAAAGAUUUAUCGCCUUUGGAUGGGCCCGCGUUGGAUUAGCUAGUUGGUAGGGUAAAAGCCUACCAAGGCGACGAUCCAUAGCUGGUCUGAGAGGAUGAUCAGCCACACUGGGACUGAGACACGGCCCAGACUCCUACGGGAGGCAGCAGUGGGGAAUAUUGGACAAUGGGCGAAAGCCUGAUCCAGCAAUGCCGCGUGAGUGAUGAAGGCCUUAGGGUUGUAAAGCUCUUUUACCCGGGAUGAUAAUGACAGUACCGGGAGAAUAAGCUCCGGCUAACUCCGUG
rnacentral:rRNA from 1 species